rfam:Staphylococcus capitis strain CR03 genome assembly, contig: BN1517_Contig_1
AUUCAUCUUCGGGGUCGGGUGCAAUUCCCAACCGGCAGUAAAUUUAAGCCUGCGACGAAAUAAUUCGAUAACACACGUAGUUGUCAUAUUAUUUCUUGAUUCAGUGAGAUUCUGAAGCCGACAGUAUAGUCUGGAUGGGAGAAGAUGGAG